AGGUGCCGCGUCGUGCUCGCGAGAGAACAGAAAUGCGCUUCCCCCUGCUUUGGCGCCUUGCUACGGGGCCCUGGAUUGGGCCAGAUUUAUGCAGACGCGUUCCCGCUCGCCUGAAAGAACAGGUUGCAGGUCCCCCUGGUGGCCAGAGGCAGGGAAAGAGCUGCUGAUAAACAGGAGCGAACUCCACACACAGCAAGCUCUCCGUUCUCCGGGUGUACAGGUAUUUUCCCAGACUAUACAGCUGAGGGGAAUAGUGGCCCCCUGUGGGGCCACUGCACAGUAUGAGCAGAGCAUACUGCAUCUGCUCAGCUAAAUUUUAUAAAAGGAAACGCUCCCUUUAUAAAACAGUAGUCUCACAGAGUCACCUACCAACUUUUUUGGUUUGGGUUUUUUUUUUUUUCUGCCUCCGUAAUUGUGAGAAUAAGAUUAGAGGAUUGGUCACAAUCAGAGCGAUGCCAGCGUGGGAAGCACGGUUGGAUUUCCCUGGCAUUCCACCACCUGAUGCUGUUCGGUUCCCCGUCCCACCUCCUUCAGCUCAUGAAAACCCCAGACUCAGCCAGACUCAGAGACUCAUCAGGAUUACCUGCUUGUGGGUAGGAGCUACCCGCUUUGGGUCUCCUCUCUGCUGAGAGCUGUUUGGUUGCCCAAUAAAGCUCUUCUCUGCCUUGAUCACCC